UGCGAACGGGUGAGUAACGCGUAGGUAACCUGCCUUGUAGCGGGGGAUAACUAUUGGAAACGAUAGCUAAUACCGCAUAACAAUGGAUGACACAUGUCAUUUAUUUGAAAGGGGCAAUUGCUCCACUACAAGAUGGACCUGCGUUGUAUUAGCUAGUAGGUGAGGUAACGGCUCACCUAGGCGACGAUACAUAGCCGACCUGAGAGGGUGAUCGGCCACACUGGGACUGAGACACGGCCCAGACUCCUACGGGAGGCAGCAGUAGGGAAUCUUCGGCAAUGGGGGCAACCCUGACCGAGCAACGCCGCGUGAGUGAAGAAGGUUUUCGGAUCGUAAAGCUCUGUUGUAAGUCAAGAACGAGUGUGAGAGUGGAAAGUUCACACUGUGACGGUAGCUUACCAGAAAGGGACGGCUAACUACGUGCCAGCAGCCGCGGUAAUACGUAGGUCCCGAGCGUUGUCCGGAUUUAUUGGGCGUAAAGCGAGCGCAGGCGGUUUGAUAAGUCUGAAGUUAAAGGCUGUGGCUCAACCAUAGUUCGCUUUGGAAACUGUCAAACUUGAGUGCAGAAGGGGAGAGUGGAAUUCCAUGUGUAGCGGUGAAAUGCGUAGAUAUAUGGAGGAACACCGGUGGCGAAAGCGGCUCUCUGGUCUGUAACUGACGCUGAGGCUCGAAAGCGUGGGGAGCGAACAGGAUUAGAUACCCUGGUAGUCCACGCCGUAAACGAUGAGUGCUAGGUGUUGGAUCCUUUCCGGGAUUCAGUGCCGCAGCUAACGCAUUAAGCACUCCGCCUGGGGAGUACGACCGCAAGGUUGAAACUCAAAGGAAUUGACGGGGGCCCGCACAAGCGGUGGAGCAUGUGGUUUAAUUCGAAGCAACGCGAAGAACCUUACCAGGUCUUGACAUCCCGAUGCUAUUUCUAGAGAUAGAAAGUUACUUCGGUACAUCGGUGACAGG
rnacentral:rRNA from 1 species